UACGUAGGCAGCGAGCGUUGUUCGGAGUUACUGGGCGUAAAGGGUGUGUAGGCGGUUGUUUAAGUUUGGUGUGAAAUCUCCCGGCUCAACCGGGAGGGUGCGCCGAAUACUGAAUGACUUGGAGUGCGGGAGAGGAAAGUGGAAUUCCUGGUGUAGCGGUGAAAUGCGUAGAUAUCAGGAGGAACACCGGUGGUGUAGACGGCUUUCUGGACCGUAACUGACGCUGAGACACGAAAGCGUGGGGAGCAAACAGG
rnacentral:rRNA from 1 species